rnacentral:rRNA from 1 species
UCGUCAGCUCGUGUCGUGAGAUGUUGGGUUAAGUCCCGCAACGAGCGCAACCCUUGUCAUUAGUUGCCAUCAUUAAGUUGGGCACUCUAAUGAGACUGCCGGUGACAAACCGGAGGAAGGUGGGGAUGACGUCAAGUCAUCAUGCCCCUUAUGACCUGGGCUACACACGUGCUACAAUGGACGGUGCAACGAGAAGCGAACCUGCGAAGGCAAGCGGAUCUCUUAAAGCCGUUCUCAGUUCGGACUGUAGGCUGCAACUCGCCUACACGAAGCUGGAAUCGCUAGUAAUCGCGGAUCAGCACGCCGCGGUGAAUACGUUCCCGGGCCUUGUACACACCGCCCGUCACACCAUGAGAGUCUGUAACACCCAAAGCCGGUGGGAUAACCUUUAUAGGAGUCAGCCGUCUAAGGUAGGACAGAUGAUUAGGGUGAAGUCGUAACAAGGUAGCCGUA